UACGUAGGGUGCGAGCGUUGUCCGGAAUUAUUGGGCGUAAAGAGCUUGUAGGCGGUUUGUCGCGUCUGCUGUGAAAAUCCGGGGCUCAACCCCGGACUUGCAGUGGGUACGGGCAGACUAGAGUGUGGUAGGGGAGACUGGAAGUUCCUGGUGUAGCGGUGAAAUGCGCAGAUAUCAGGAGGAACACCGAUGGCGAAGGCAGGUCUCUGGGCCAGCUACUGACGCUGAGAAGCGAAAGCUGGGGAGCGAACAGG
rnacentral:rRNA from 1 species